GAUGAAGAACGCAGCGAAAUGCGAUAAGUAGUGUGAAUUGCAGAAUUCAGUGAAUCAUCGAAUCUUUGAACGCACAUUGCGCCUCCUGGCAUUCCGGGAGGCAUGCCUGUUCGAGCGUCAUUAUAACCACUCAAGCUCUCGCUUGGUAUUGGGGUUCGCGGUUCCGCGGCCCCUAAAAUCAGUGGCGGUGCCUGUCGGCUCUACGCGUAGUAAUACUCCUCGCGAUUGAGUCCGGUAGGUCUACUUGCCAGCAACCCCCAAUUUUUACAGGUUGACCUCGGAUCAGGUAGGGAUACCCGCUGAACUUAAGCAUAUCAAUAAGCGGAGGA
rnacentral:misc_RNA from 1 species